UUCACGCAAAAACUACUACACGGAUUAGGCUGAAAUUUAGAAUGGAGAUAGAUUAUUCCCCGGAUUAACACAUACAUACGCUACGUUUUAUCUCGAAAAAUCAAUGAGUUCCUACGGGAUUUUU